AGUGGAUGGGGAGCAACCUAGUUGUGCGUGUGUAAAGGUAGUGCCAAGAAAAGCGAUGAUCAUGUUGAAAAUCAAUUCCCGGUACCCGAAACCGACACAGGUGGGCAAGUAGAGAAUACUAAGGGGCGCGAGGUAACUCUCUCCAAGGAACUCGGCAAAAUGACCCCGUAACUUAGGGAGAAGGGGUGCCACCGAGAGGUGGUCGCAGUGAAGAGGCCCAGGCGACUGUUUAGCAAAAACAUAGGUCUCUGCAAACUCGAAAGAGGAGGUAUAGGGGCUGACGCCUGCCCAGUGCCGGAAGGUUAAAGAAGUUGGUCAGUCUUAGGAUGAAGCUAGCGACUGAAGCCCCGGUGAACGGCGGCCGUAACUAUAACGGUCCUAAGGUAGCGAAAUUCCUUGUCGGGUAAGUUCCGACCCGCACGAAAGGCGUAACGAUCUGGGCGCUGUCUCGGAGAGAGGCUCGGCGAAAUAGGAUUGUCUGUGAAGAUACGGACUACCUGCAUUUGGACAGAAAGACCCUAUGAAGCUUUACUAUAGCUUGGAAUUGUGUUCGGGCUUCCUGUGCGCAGGAUAGGUGGGAGGCGUAGAAGGUAUUCUUGUGGGGAUACUGGAGCCAACGGUGAGAUACCACUCUCAGGAGGCUAGAAUUCUAACUUAAUUAAGGACAGUUUCAGGUGGGUAGUUUGACUGGGGCGGUCGCCUCCAAAAAGUAACGGAGGCGUACAAAGGUUCCCUCAGACUGGUUGGAAAUCAGUCGAAGAGUGCAAAGGCAGAAGGGAGCUUGACUGCGAGAAGUACAGUUCGAGCAGGGUGGAAACACGGUCUUAGUGAUCCGACGGUGCUGUGUGGAAGGGCCGUCGCUCAACGGAUAAAAGUUACUCUAGGAUAACAGGCUGAUCUCCCCCAAGAGUUCACAUCGACGGGGAGGUUUGGCACCUCGAUGUCGGCUCAUCGCAACCUGGGGCGGAAGUACGUCCCAAGGGUUGGGCUGUUCGCCCAUUAAAGCGGUACGUGAGCUGGGUUCAGAACGUCGUGAGACAGUUCGGUCCAUAUCCGAUGUAGGCGUGAGAAUAUUGAGAGGAGCCUUCCUUAGUACGAGAGGACCGGGAAGGACGCACCGCUGGUGUACCUGUUAUGAUGCCAAUUGUAAACGCAGGGUAGCCAAGUGCGGAGAGGAUAACCGCUGAAAGCAUCUAAGUGGGAAGCCCACCUCAAGAUGAGUAUUCUGGUGUAAGGUCACGGGAAGACGACCCGUAAAUAGGCACGAGGUGGAAGUGCAGAGAUGUAUGAAGCCGAAGUGUACUAAUAGACCGUCGGCUUGACC
rnacentral:rRNA from 1 species